rnacentral:tRNA from 2 species
GCGGCGGUCGUCUAGCCUGGAUUAGGACGCCGGCCUGCCACGCCGGCAAUCCCGGGUUCAAAUCCCGGCCGCCGCA